GUCGACUUUAAAAAUCGUGAGGGUUCAAGUCCCUCUAUCCCCA
rnacentral:tRNA from 1 species